ensembl:snRNA U6 U6 spliceosomal RNA
CUGCUCUUCCUUCUGCAGCAUAUUUACUGAAAUUGGAAUGAUAGAGUUGAUUAGCAUGGCCUCUGCACAAGGAUGAGAUGCAAAUUUAUGUCGCGUUUCCAUGCCUG